rnacentral:tRNA from 1 species
GGACGCGUAGUGUAAUGGCCGCACGCCUGAUUGUCGAUCAGGAAGCUUUUGCGGGUUCGAGUCCCGUCGUGUCCGCCA